GAUUCUGGCUCAGGAUGAACGCUAGCGGCAGGCUAACACAUGCAAGUCGAGGGGCAGCGGGAUGUAGCAAUACAUUGCCGGCGACCGGCGGAUGGGUGCGUAACGCGUAUGCAACCUACCUUAUACAGGGGAAUAACCUUUCGAAAGGGAGACUAACACCCCAUGGUAUUGAUUUAAGGCAUCUUAGAUUAAUUAAAUAUUUAUAGGUAUAAGAUGGGCAUGCGUAUGAUUAGCUAGUUGGUAAGGUAACGGCUUACCAAGGCGACGAUCAUUAGGGGUUCUGAGAGGAAGGUCCCCCACACUGGUACUGAGACACGGACCAGACUCCUACGGGAGGCAGCAGUGAGGAAUAUUGGUCAAUGGGCGCAAGCCUGAACCAGCCAUGCCGCGUGCAGGAAGACGGCCUUAUGGGUUGUAAACUGCUUUUACAUAAGACUAACCGUAUAUUUGCGAAUAUACCUGAAUGUAUUAUGAGAAUAAGGAUCGGCUGACUCCGUGCCAGCCGCCGC
rnacentral:rRNA from 1 species